rnacentral:sRNA from 1 species
AUGCAACGAGCGGAGGAACCGAAGUUCAACUGCUCGAUGAAGUUGACAUUGGAUUGCGGAUCGAUACCGAGAUCUCGCGUUUUAGUGGCAACCGGCGUGAGUUUGGCUUCGUCGUCUUCGGCUAAUGCAGCAUUAUCCGGGCGAUGAGGCAGCACAGGUUCUCCUGGCGUGUCCUGGUGCGGCAGAUGUUCCCUCCCUCAUCUGCAUGCGAUGCGCCCUCCUAGCCUCGCUUGUCGAUUGACCGGCGAGGCUUUUUUUU